UUAAGCGACUAAGCGUACACGGUGGAUGCCCUGGCAGUCAGAGGCGAUGAAGGACGUGCUAAUCUGCGAAAAGCGUCGGUAAGGUGAUAUGAACCGUUACAGCCGGCGAUGUCCGAAUGGGGAAACCCAGUGCAAUUCGUUGCACUAUCGUUAACUGAAUACAUAGGUUAACGAGGCGAACCGGGGGAACUGAAACAUCUAAGUACCCCGAGGAAAAGAAAUCAACCGAGAUUCCCCCAGUAGCGGCGAGCGAACGGGGAGCAGCCCAGAGUCUGAAUCAGCUUGUGUGUUAGUGGAACGGUCUGGAAAGUCCGACGGUACAGGGUGAUAGUCCCGUACACCAAAAUGCACAGGCUGUGAACUCGAAGAGUAGGGCGGGACACGUGGUAUCCUGUCUGAAUAUGGGGGGACCAUCCUCCAAGGCUAAAUACUCCUGACUGACCGAUAGUGAACCAGUACCGUGAGGGAAAGGCGAAAAGAACCCCGGCGAGGGGAGUGAAAAAGAACCUGAAACCGUGUACGUACAAGCAGUGGGAGCACCUUCGGGUGUGACUGCGUACCUUUUGUAUAAUGGGUCAGCGACUUAUAUUCUGUAGCAAGGUUAACCGUAUAGGGGAGCCGCAGGGAAACCGAGUCUUAACUGGGCGUUAAGUUGCAGGGUAUAGACCCGAAACCCGGUGAUCUAGCCAUGGGCAGGUUGAAGGUUGGGUAACACUAACUGGAGGACCGAACCGACUAAUGUUGAAAAAUUAGCGGAUGACUUGUGGCUGGGGGUGAAAGGCCAAUCAAACCGGGAGAUAGCUGGUUCUCCCCGAAAGCUAUUUAGGUAGCGCCUCGUGAACUCAUCUUCGGGGGUAGAGCACUGUUUCGGCUAGGGGGUCAUCCCGACUUACCAACCCGAUGCAAACUACGAAUACCGAAGAAUGUUAUCACGGGAGACACACGGCGGGUGCUAACGUCCGUCGUGAAGAGGGAAACAACCCAGACCGCCAGCUAAGGUCCCAAAGUCAUGGUUAAGUGGGAAACGAUGUGGGAAGGCACAGACAGCCAGGAUGUUGGCUUAGAAGCAGCCAUCAUUUAAAGAAAGCGUAAUAGCUCACUGGUCGAGUCGGCCUGCGCGGAAGAUGUAACGGGGCUAAACCAUGCACCGAAGCUGCGGCAGCGACACUAUGUGUUGUUGGGUAGGGGAGCGUUCUGUAAGCCUGCGAAGGUGUGCUGUGAGGCAUGCUGGAGGUAUCAGAAGUGCGAAUGCUGACAUAAGUAACGAUAAAGCGGGUGAAAAGCCCGCUCGCCGGAAGACCAAGGGUUCCUGUCCAACGUUAAUCGGGGCAGGGUGAGUCGACCCCUAAGGCGAGGCCGAAAGGCGUAGUCGAUGGGAAACAGGUUAAUAUUCCUGUACUUGGUGUUACUGCGAAGGGGGGACGGAGAAGGCUAUGUUAGCCGGGCGACGGUUGUCCCGGUUUAAGCAUGUAGGCUGGUUAUCCAGGCAAAUCCGGAUAAUCAAGGCUGAGGUGUGAUGACGAGGCACUACGGUGCUGAAGUAACAAAUGCCCUGCUUCCAGGAAAAGCCUCUAAGCAUCAGGUAACAUCAAAUCGUACCCCAAACCGACACAGGUGGUCAGGUAGAGAAUACCAAGGCGCUUGAGAGAACUCGGGUGAAGGAACUAGGCAAAAUGGUGCCGUAACUUCGGGAGAAGGCACGCUGGUGUGUAGGUGAAGUCCCUGCGGAUGGAGCUGAGACCAGUCGAAGAUACCAGCUGGCUGCAACUGUUUAUUAAAAACACAGCACUGUGCAAACACGAAAGUGGACGUAUACGGUGUGACGCCUGCCCGGUGCCGGAAGGUUAAUUGAUGGGGUUAUCCGUAAGGAGAAGCUCUUGAUCGAAGCCCCGGUAAACGGCGGCCGUAACUAUAACGGUCCUAAGGUAGCGAAAUUCCUUGUCGGGUAAGUUCCGACCUGCACGAAUGGCGUAAUGAUGGCCAGGCUGUCUCCACCCGAGACUCAGUGAAAUUGAACUCGCUGUGAAGAUGCAGUGUACCCGCGGCAAGACGGAAAGACCCCGUGAACCUUUACUAUAGCUUGACACUGAACAUUGAGCCUUGAUGUGUAGGAUAGGUGGGAGGCUUUGAAGCGUGGACGCCAGUCUGCGUGGAGCCAACCUUGAAAUACCACCCUUUAAUGUUUGAUGUUCUAACGUUGGCCCCUGACCGGGGUUGCGGACAGUGUCUGGUGGGUAGUUUGACUGGGGCGGUCUCCUCCCAAAGCGUAACGGAGGAGCACGAAGGUUAGCUAAUCCUGGUCGGACAUCAGGAGGUUAGUGCAAUGGCAUAAGCUAGCUUGACUGCGAGCGUGACGGCGCGAGCAGGUGCGAAAGCAGGUCAUAGUGAUCCGGUGGUUCUGAAUGGAAGGGCCAUCGCUCAACGGAUAAAAGGUACUCCGGGGAUAACAGGCUGAUACCGCCCAAGAGUUCAUAUCGACGGCGGUGUUUGGCACCUCGAUGUCGGCUCAUCACAUCCUGGGGCUGAAGUAGGUCCCAAGGGUAUGGCUGUUCGCCAUUUAAAGUGGUACGCGAGCUGGGUUUAGAACGUCGUGAGACAGUUCGGUCCCUAUCUGCCGUGGGCGCUGGAGAAUUGAGGGGGGCUGCUCCUAGUACGAGAGGACCGGAGUGGACGCAUCACUGGUGUUCGGGUUGUCAUGCCAAUGGCACUGCCCGGUAGCUAAAUGCGGAAGAGAUAAGUGCUGAAAGCAUCUAAGCACGAAACUUGCCCCGAGAUGAGUUCUCCCUGAGACUUUAAGUCUCCUGAAGGAACGUUAAAGACGAUGACGUUGAUAGGCCGGGUGUGUAAGCGCAGCGAUGCGUUGAGCUAACCGGUACUAAUGAACCGUGAGGCUUAACCU
rnacentral:rRNA from 1 species